GUAUUACUCCCUCCGUCCGGAAAUACUUGUCGGAGAAAUGGAUGUAUCUAGACGAUUUUAGUUCUGAUACAUCCAUUUUUAUCCAUUUUCCGACAAGUAUUUAUGGAAGGAGGGAGUAUAUA
rfam:Hordeum vulgare subsp. vulgare, WGS project CAJW01000000 data, contig: morex_contig_94381